ACGCUGCUGCUUUUAAAAAAACUAAACAGUUGGCAACUAAGCCUUCGAGCCUGCUAGAAGAGGCCCCAGUUGGUACGGUAAUACUUAUUCACCAAGCUGGUCAUCGACGAGAGUGAGGAUAUCCUAGACGGAGCAAGAAUGGGCAGAGGCUGAAGAACCUACUAUGAAGCUUACUUUUCAAGCACAGAAAAUUUGGUCUACAUAGCCUCCUUUACAAGGUGACUUUUUUUUUUUUU